rfam:Nelumbo nucifera unplaced genomic scaffold scaffold00043, whole genome shotgun sequence
GGGGAUGUAGCUCAAAUGGUAGAGUUCUCGCUUUGCAUGUUAGAGGUACGUGGUUCGAUACAUGCAUUUCCA